AGCGCAACCCUCGCCUCCUAGUUGCCAGCAUUCGGUUGGGCACUCUAGAGGGACUGCCGGCGACAAGUCGGAGGAAGGUGGGGAUGACGUCAAAUCAUCAUGCCCCUUAUGACCUGGGCUACACACGUGCUACAAUGGGCGGUACAAAGGGCUGCGAACCCGCGAGGGGGAGCGAAUCCCAAAAAGCCGCUCUCAGUUCGGAUUGCAGGCUGCAACUCGCCUGCAUGAAGCCGGAAUCGCUAGUAAUCGCGGAUCAGCAUGCCGCGGUGAAUACGUUCCCGGGCCUU
rnacentral:rRNA from 1 species